GAGAGUUUGAUUCUGGCUCAGGAUGAACGCUGGCGGCGUGCCUAACACAUGCAAGUCGAGCGAUCUUCUUCGGAAGAGAGCGGCGGACGGGUGAGUAACGCGUGGGUAACCUGCCUCAUACACAUGGAUAACAUACCGAAAGGUAUGCUAAUACAAGAUGAUAUAAGAGAUUCGCAUGGAUUUCUUAUCAAAGCUCCGGCGGUAUGAGAUGGACCCGCGUCUGAUUAGCUAGUUGGUAAGGUAACGGCUUAUCAAGGCGACGAUCAGUAGCCGACCUGAGAGGGUGAUCGGCCACAUUGGAACUGAGACACGGUCCAAACUCCUACGGGAGGCAGCAGUGGGGAAUAUUGCACAAUGGGCGAAAGCCUGAUGCAGCAACGCCGCGUGAGCCGAUGAAGGCCUUCGGUCGUAAAGCUCUGUCCUCAAGGAAGAUAAUGACGUACUUGAGAGAAGCCCCGCUAACUA
rnacentral:rRNA from 1 species